AGUGAACACUGACUGACUGCAUUCCAGCUACAGGAUUACAACACUAUGCUUUUAAUGGAUAGUCCUCUUCCAGGAAACAAAAUUAACUCUUCCAUCCAUCUCUGUCUGCAUUCAAUAAUUAUCUCGCUCUCUCAUGCUCUCGCUCUUUUCCUCUCUGUCUUUCUCGUUCUUCUUUAAUUAUUUUACUCUCCCUUUCUCAGUUAUCUCCCUCCCUCUCUGUAUAUUGGUCUCUUGCUGUCUACCUCCCUCUAUCUAUUAUCUAUUGCUCUCUCUCCCAACUGUUAUCAAUUAUCUCUCAUUCUGCGUUACUUCAUUUCUCUUUCUCUCUGGAGUUUCCACAGCUCAGUAUAAUCUCCUACCCAAGUUUGGAUGCAACUAAUGGAUCUUCCUAUGAUCAGCUUCUGUGAAGAAAUUGGGAAUGGAGGGAGAAGGAGAGAGAAAACAGAGGGAAGCAGUGGCUGAAUGACCUUGGGGGGUACCUCACUUGGGAUGACACGGCUCACCGGUUCGGGAGGCGUGUUUGGUGACCCCAGCCGGCCCCCUCUGCUCUAACCCAUCAUUCAUCCUUUAUUGCCUAUCCUGCUUCGUCACAGUGUUCUAGACAGCCAAACCUCGGGCCCAGCUGGAGAACCUGAUAGUCGUGGAACCCACGCAGCCCGCCUUCUCCUCUCCUCCCUGGAAUGAUUUUCUGCUGCUCUGCACUUUUCACCAUGUAAAAUACACAACACAUGACACAAAUGGCACACACACACACACACACACACAGUGCUCUUUUCACCAUAUAAUACACACACACAACACAUACAGACUGCUUUUUCCACCCUAUACAGGGAAUGAUUGCUGUUCCCCACCAGAGUGAUCACCUGGUUCAUUUAGACACAUAUACUUACCUGAAGUAUCACAGACUCACACCUAUGCUCUUAGAUUCUGUUACACAAACACACACACACACACUAAUGGAGACAGACCCCUCUCCAUUUCCCUCACACAUCUUAACCACAGUGGAUUUUAAGCACUUUUGCUUGUGGUAUCUGUGUUUUACAGUUGUCAGUUGAUUGACAUUUGUGGCUAGUCUGGUUUAACCUAUCUAAAAGGUCUUGUACUUGAAGAAACCCAAUGUGAAGUUCACUGUACCAAGCCCACAGAUACAUACCAGUUCUGUAUGGUGUAGGAAUAGCAGAAGAAGUGAAACAGCCACAAGGAUGUAUUCAAUAAAGACAGCUGGUACAUACAGUAUUAACUGAGUUAUAUUUGGUCAAGUUAAUCAACUGAGUUGGAUUAGCAGAAAUGUAUUAACUCAGUUAUCUUAGCUGAGUCAUAUGAACGGAGUCAUACUUAAUGAAUUGAAUAACCAGAGGUAUAUUAACUGAGUUGUACUAACUACGUUGUGUUAGCUGAGUUGUAUUAACUGAGUUGUAUAAACUGUGUUGUAUUAGCUGAGCUGUAUAAACAGAGUUGUAUUUACUGUGUUGUAUUAACUGUGUUGUAUUAGCUGAGUUGUAUUAACUGUGUUGUAAUAACUGUGUUGUAUUAGCUGAUUUGUAUUAACUGUGUUGUAUUAACUGUGUUGUAUUAGCUGAUUUGUAUUAACUGAGUUGUAUUAACUGUGUUGUAUUAACUGUGUUGUAUUAGCUGAUUUGUAUUAACUGAGUUGUAUUAGCUGAGUUGUAUUAACCGUGUUGUAUUAACUGUGUUGUAUUAGCUGAUUUGUAUUAACUGAUUUGUAUUAACUGAGUUGUAUUAACUGUGUUGUAUUAGCUGAUUUGUAUUAACUGAUUUGUAUUAACUGAGUUGUAUUAACUGUGUUGUAUUAGCUGAUUUGUAUUAACUGAUUUGUAUUAACUGAGUUGUAUUAACUGUGUUGUAUUAGCUGAUUUGUAUUAACUGAUUUGUAUUAACUGAGUUGUAUUAACUGUGUUGUAUUAGCUGAUUUGUAUUAACUGAUUUGUAUUAACUGAGUUGUAUUAACUGUGUUGUAUUAGCUGAUUUGUAUUAACUGAGUUGUAUUAACUGUGUUGUAUUAGCUGAUUUGUAUUAACUGUGUUGUAUUAGCUGAGCUGUUUCAGCUGAGUUGCACUUUGUUGUAUCCUGUUUAUGUUUACUCUAGGCCUAUUAUGCAGGUUUUUUUUCCUUUGUCUCUUUUUAAAGACAUUUCUAUAAACUGUGUGAAGACGUGAAUUGGAUCAGUGCUGGGAGAUUUGAGAGAGAGUGUGGGGUGGAGUGGCGUGACUGGCCUGUUAACACCAGACCAAAGCCCCUACAGCUCUCCUUUCCCCUGGGAACGCUUCUACUGCCCCCUGGUGGGACUGGAAAAGGAAAGGAACU